GUUGCUCCUCCAGGCUGUGUGAAUCAAGGUGGAAGGUUUCUGUGUGAGCGAUUGGGGCCCUGUGUCUCAGUGAGGGCCUCAAUCUCCAUUUUGUAUUUUUCUUUAAUAUUGAUGAAACACAGAAGUCCUUAAGAUGGUGUUUGUAAGAGGAGAAACGCUUACCAGAGCAAGAGGCUCAAUAUCUGUUGACGGCAUGACUGAACCCAAGCAUGACCGAGAUAGUGACCGGGAGUCCCUCACCGACUGGAUGCUGGUGGACCGUGAUGGAACGCCAGAAGGGGCUGGGGGAGACAGCCCUCAGCACACUGAUGAGGAUGGAGUCACAGGAGCCACAUCUUUAGGAGAUGAGGAACAAGAAGAGAGGGAAUCAGAGGAGGAAGAGGAAGUCCAGGAGGAUGAGGAGGAGGAAGAGGAGGAGGAGGAUGAUGAAGGGCUCUCUGAUGAGCUGAUCUCACUGGGCCAGAGGGUGCAAGAGAUCAAGGGUGAGUCCAUCAAGGCUUCCUCGGGCUCGGACUCCAGUGACAUAGAGACUCUCGAGUGCCCCGGUCCUGAUGAUUUUUACGAGGACCACGCCCUGGCCUACGAUUCCAUGCACUCCUCCCUCAUGUCCUGCUCCCUGCGCAGUUUUACCUUUGUGGGCGACUCAGAAACCUCUGUGGAUAGUCUGUGCCAUGAUGGUACCAUGGUGGCCAGUAGAGCCGUCUGGGAAGGUGUCAUCCCAGGUGACGCAGAUGCGGAGAGCCUUGCCAGCACAGAUAUUUCCGUACUGGAUGAGGAGAAGGAAAAAAUUGCUGAUGAAGAGACCGAUCUCUCUCUGGCCUCCUCGCCCUCACUCCCAGAUGAUCUUCCAGCAAUAAAACCUGACACCCAGUACCGCCAUACCCCAGACAGAGACCUCAACUCUCGGCUGAACAUUGUGGUUGCACUCACACUGGCCUGUGUACUUGGGCUUGGCUUAGGACACUUCCUUGGCCUAGUGGAUCUGUCUGUGGAGAGCAUUGACAAAGGUUGGUCCAGCCGCAGUAUGUGGCAAGACACACUAAACUCUGCCCAGGUACGUAAACUGCGAGAACUUCAGGAUGACUUGGUGAGCUGCAUGAACUCACCCUUACAGCCCCCUCCUGCCCCUGCUCCUGGAUUCUCAUUUGACACCCCUCAGCCCCCCCUAAUGGACACAUACCCCCCUGAGGCAGACUUGCAUGAGUCUGCUUACCCGGGUGUAGAUGCGCCCUUUGUGCCAGUCCUGCCUGAGAGUGAGGAGAACCUGUUGAUUGUGGAGUCUUUUGUAGAGUCUCUGGUGACACCCCUAGAGGACGCUGGGGUGGUGCUCAGUGCUACCAGGAGGAAGGCUGACAUGCCAGCCCUCAGCCAUGGGCCCUCAGAGGGCUUCGGGGUGGCCACUGACCCCACCUUUGCAACCCCAGACCUUAUGCGGGAGGAGGACUUUGAGGCCAGCCAAUCCAGAGGUGUGGCAGAAGACAUGAACAUAUACAAGGAGGAUAAGGACAUUACUGCAGGUGUGCAGGAUGAAGAUGCAGAGGUUACUGAGGUCAAAGAUGCAUGCAGCCUAGAGAGAUGCAAUCCUUUGAUCCAAGAGGAGGGUGUACAAGAAACGAGCAAGAGCCCUGGCCUUCCUUCUCUGGACCUAUCUGGGCAGGAUGACAUUGCUGAAGACCCAUGUGAUGAGGAUUUAGCUGCUUCAGUAGAGAUAGAAAACUUGCAGCUCAUUGAGAAGAUGAACCAAGAGAAUGGGAAUCUAGAGUUGGAAAUCUCACGGCUUCAAGAGGAAAACGUCACACCUUUCAAGAUCACAGGCAAGGAUGGGAAACAUGCGAGAGACCUACGAGAGCGCAUAAAUCGGCUCAUAGUAGAGAAUGAGGAGUUGCGCAUGGCCAUAGGGAAGCUGCAAUUCUCAGGCCUUCCUGAUGGGGACACAGGUGCCUUCAACACUGCUCUUGACAAGAACUACAACCUUCGCGUAGCAGUUGGAAAGCUUACACAUCUUGUCUCUGACCUGAAUGCACUGAGGAUUUCAGCCAAUGAGCUGCAGGCGGAGAAUCAUGAACUCACCAUCCAAGUUGGGAAUCUGCGAUACCAGCAGCAACCAAUGCCAAGGGAGCUCAAUGCAGUUGCCAGGGAAGUGGAAAAUCUGAAGAAGACUGUCCUUGAGGCUUCCCACAAGAAGAAGGAUGUACCAAACUUGAGCAGUGCCAGAAAUUAUGUAUCUUAUAUGACUCAGGUUUUGGGUGCCAUCCACACACUGCAUGAGUUUGAAGAAGCUGGUGUAUUUGAGAAGAUAGACAUGGCAUCAGAUGUCUUUGUGGACAUCGCACCAAAGAAUGUUAAAAUCUCCACUCCUGUACAGCAGAAGCUGGACACCGCUCGAGGCAAGUUCUCUGAGAUCAGGAUAUCUCUGUCCGAGAAGUGGAAUAAGCUCAAGACCCUGAGCUCCCCUGAGAACUUCGCCAACCUGGGCAAGAACACGCUGUCCAAGAUGAAUCGUGUGAUUGUAAAUGUGGUGAACAAGUUGAAGGACAUCGGCCAAAACGUGUUUAUAAAGCGUGGAAAGACCCCGGUCGACAAGACCAUCAGCACCAUGGCGGAGCGCCUCUCGGUCCUUGACUCGCAGUUCGACAAGACCUGGAAUGAUUUGGAGGCUGAGGUGGAAGGUGGAGCUGAUGAGGGUGUGAGUGUAGAUGAAGAGCCAGGAGCGCCGCAGGAGGACCUGGUUGUGAUGGGAGACAGCGAGGAAACGGCAGAGCCUGAGACUGAGGAUGAGGGAGUAAACAUGGAAACAGGAGACGAGGAGGAAGAGGAGCAGCAGGAAGUGGCUGUGGAAGAGCAGCAGGAGGAUGUUCUCCCGUCUCCCUUGCCGCAGGAUGGAGGCGAGAGGGAUGGUGGUGAUGGGGGUGAUGAGAAGAAGCAGCCCGAGGAGAAGAGGGGAAGAGAGAAGAGAAACAAAGUGCAAGAGAAAGAAGAAAAGAAAAGUCAAGAGAGGAAGCGUCACCGAUCGAGGCGAACCAGACUCAGCGAGAAGGAAGAGAAGAAAGAGAAGCGCGAAGCUGAGAAGAAGGAGAACGAAGCACAGAAGGAGCAGCAACGGCAACAGAAAGACGGUGACCGCACGAAGGCCAAGGGCCGGAGGGACGGCGACCGGGAACACAACGACGGACACUACCAUGGGGAUGGGAGGGACAGGACCCUGCAAGACCACCAUGACAACCACAGAUACUACAAGGGCCAGUAUAAUAAGUACGACAAGAAAUAUAGGGAUGAUGAUGACGAUGAUGACGAUGACGACGAUGAUGAUGAUGAUGACGACGACGACGACGACGACGAUGAUUACAGACACAAAAGGAGGCAUUACAGGAAGAAAAGAUAUGACGACGAUGAUGAUGAUGAUGACGACGACGAAGACGAUGAUGACAGAUACAAGAGGAGACGAGGAGGCAAGCACGAUGAUGAUGAUGAUGAUGACAGGAAGAGGAAAGGGCUGAUGAGACACUGGCAGAAGCCGGCCAAGAAGAACUACCGCAGGGAAGUCACAGGGCCAAAGAAAGACUUUAUUCGACGACGGGAUGACUAAGCCUCGAUGCUCUUUCAUUGUUAGUUGUACACUAUUGGAAGGAACAAAAUUCCCCAGAUGAAAGCAUGAGACUAGACAGGAAAUUAGCUCAGUAUAGUGCUGAAUGCCUUCACUGCGCAUCAACUGGUAAUCCUGCCUGUAUAUUUCAGCCACUGCACAAAGUAGCACUACAGCAGAUGUCCUCGCAUAUAUAGUUUCCUUUGUAUUUCUAUCAUUCUAGCUUUUUUAAAAAUCGUUACUUGGAUUGUCGAAAUAAAUAUUUUUUGUUUAAUAUAACUGACCGAGCUCCGGAGCGGCUCGCGAGUGUAAUCUAACACGCAUGGUUUUGUGUUCCUCCCUUGGUUCUUAUCUCACAUGUUAUACGACUUCCUAAACGUUUGUCCUUUCUUUCUCCUCGAAAAGCGUCUCUUGUCAGCCUUGCAGCUCACCGGGUGUGAUUUUUUUAUUUAGGUGUUGUGUCCUAAACCUUGAUAGUUCCUUCAAGGUACAGUGAACGCUCUGUUAAAUUUCAGGAUAAAUUUAAACUUUAUGCUUUAAUGUCAUAUGUGAUAGCCAUUUAUAUAUAUUAAGAAAAAAAUAAAGUUUGUAAAAUACUUCAUUUAAAAGCGGUUGAUGGUGUCCAUAUUUUGGGUUGUUAAGAUGUAAGAAAAAACAUAUAUAUUCAAAGUUGUUUUUUCUUUUAAGCUUGAACUCACUAUUAUUGGAAAAUUAUUGGAUAUUAUAUAUCAUUGAAAAUUCAUGUCUUUGAUUUGAUGUAAUUUAUGAAAAAUGCAAAUGCUGAUGUUAUAAAUGUUUGACUACCAGAUGCCUUACUUUUAAUCUUUCUUGUGAUUAAAAACCGUCACUUGUUUCCCAUUUAUCUCGUGUGCUAGUCUUUUGUCAUCCGUGAAACCGUGAAACUUAUAUUAUUGGAUAUGUCAAUAAACCCUACCCAGA
rnacentral:misc_RNA from 1 species